CCGCCCGGGCCGCCUCAGGAGCCGCCGCGGCCCCGCCAAAAUAGCGCGGAAAAAAAAAAAAUAUAAUCAAAACAAUCUUACUUUUAAUGACAGAGCUGCUUCCAGCGCGGAGGGAAGCGAAACGAACUGGGAAAAAAAGGAAUUUAAUAUGCGGAAAAGCGGUGGGGGGGGGGGGGGGGGAGGGGGAAGCGAGUAAAAAGCGAAAUAUGAAAGGAAACCGAAGGUCGUUACCUCACGGGAAAUGCCUUCCCAAUAUCCAUCUCCAGGUAUUAGGAAGAACGUGUGAAUGCAAGCGCUCCCCGAGUUGUUGUCUUGGUGCAGGAGAAUUUAGUCUUUUACUUCAAAUCCCACAAUGAAUAGCUGUUUCUGAGUUCUGGUUGAAACAGCUUCUUGUUCAUGCUUUGAUAAUAAAAAAAGAUAUUU